rnacentral:misc_RNA from 1 species
UGAUAAAAUUAAUGAAGAAAUUAAACUUAUGAAUAUAAAUUUAUUAUUGAGUUUUAAUAUUACAUUUAUUAUUCUCUUUGAUUUUAAUAUUUUAUAUUUAAUAAUUAUUACAUUCGUCUGGUUAAUAAAUAAUAAUUAAAUAAAUCAAAUGAUUUUAAUUUACUAUAUGAUUAUAAUAUAACGUUGAUUUUUUAUGAUUUCAAUAAUUUCCUAUAUACAAAAUAAUACAAAAAAUUUAUUAGAAAGUUAAUUUAUUAUUUUAUUUAUAAAAAUUAGGAUGAAUUUGUAAUGUUAAUAUCAAAAAAAUAAAUAUAAAUAUCAAAAAUAAAUUUAUUUAAAAUUAAAAUUUUAUUUAUUAUUAAAGAGUAAAUAUAAUUAUUAGUAAUAUAUAUAGUAUUUGUAAUAAAAUAUCAAUAAUUAGAAAGAUUAUAAAAACUAAAUUAGAAGAACUAAAAACUAUAUUUUUAUUAAUUAGAAUAUUUGAAUAAUCUCUUUAAUCAUAUAAAAUGCAUAUACUUGUAAUAUUUAAAG